rnacentral:rRNA from 1 species
AUUGAACGCUGGCGGCAGGCCUAACACAUGCAAGUCGAACGAGUGGCGGACGGGUGAGUAAUGUCUGGGAAUCUGGCUUAUGGAGGGGGAUAACUACGGGAAACUGUAGCUAAUACCGCAUACCAUCGGAUGUGCCCAGGUGGGAUUAGGUAGUUGGUGGGGUAAAGGCUCACCAAGGCGACGAUCCCUAGCUGGUCUGAGAGGAUGACCAGCAACACGGGGACUGAGAAACGGCCCAGACUCCUACGGGAGGCAGCAGGGGGGAAUAUUGCACAAUGGGGGCAACCCUGACGCAGCCAUGCCGCGGGAAUGAAGAAGGCCUUCGGGUUGUAAAGUUCUUUCGGUAGCGAGGCGUUACCUACAGAAGAAGCACCGGCUAACUCCGUGCCAGCAGCCGCGGUAAUAC